rnacentral:rRNA from 1 species
GAUGAACGCUGGCGGCGUGCUUAACACAUGCAAGUCGAACGGGAUCCAAGGAGCGUUUUUCGUUUUUUGGUGAGAGUGGCGAACGGGUGAGUAACACGUGAGUAACCUGUCCUUUUCUUUGGGAUAAGCUCCUGAAAGGGUGUUUAAUACCUUAUGUUCUGUCUGCCUCGCAUGGGGUGGGUGGGAAAGAUUUUUUCGGUGAAGGGUGGGCUCGCGGUCUAUCAGCUUGUUGGUGGGGUGAUGGCUUACCAAGGCUUUGACGGGUAGCCGGCCGGAGAGGGUGGUCGGUAACAUUGGGACUGAGAUACGGCCCAGACUCCUGCGGGAGGCAGCAGUGGGGGAGAUUGCACAAUGGGCGCAAGCCUGAUGCAGCGACGCCGCGUGGGGGAUGAAGGCCUUCGGGUUGUAAACUUCUUUUGCUCUGAACAAGGCGCAUCUUUGGGGUGUGUUGAGUGUAGGGGUUGAUUAGCGCCGGCUAACUACGUG